rnacentral:rRNA from 1 species
AAGGUAGCAUAAUCAUUUGCCCCUUAAUUAGGGGCUAGUAUGAACGGACACACGAAAAUAGAACUGUCUCCAUUUUAACACUAAAAAUUAAACUUCAGGUGAAGAUGCCUGAAUAAAGCUAAAGGACAAAAAGACCCUGUUGAGCUUCACUUACAAUAAAUAUCUUAUAUUUACUAAAGUUUAGUUGGGGCGACUAAUGAAUAAAUAAAACUUCUUUACUAAAAAGACAUACAUGUCUACUAAAUGAUCUGCCUACGCAAUCAACAAACAAAGCUACCACAGGGAUAACAGGCUAAUCUCCCUUAAGAGCUCAAAUUGACAGGGAGGUUUGGCACCUCGAUGUUGGCUUAAAGUUCCCAAUAACUGCAGCAGGUUACUAGGUAGGUUUGUUCAACCUUUAAAACUUUACGUGAUC